GAGAAGGGGCGGGGCCGAAGCCGGUUGCCAGGGUGUCGCGGAGCGGCUGGGAAGGAGGGGCUGGGAAUCUUGGAGCCCCUUGGCCCGCGGGGAAAGCGGGUGACCCGCCCUGCAAGUGGGAUGCCCCCUUCGGCCUUCUGGAGCGCAGGUGGGGGCGCGCGCCCAUCGGGGGCUCGCACUGCACGGAGGGUCGCGGUGCCGGGGAGCUGAGGUUGGAGGAUGCAGGGCGGCGGCCCUGGUGCACCGUGGGGGAGUUCGCACGCCGGGCAGCGAUCUUCUGCCGGGACCUGGCGUUCUUCACACACGGCUUAUUCGUGACGGAUCCACAGAGCAAUGCACUCUGAAGCCGGAGGGUAGAAAGUGCUGGAAUGCGCGCCCGGGCCCAGGCUGUCGCGAGCCUUCAGCAAGCCAGUGCACACAGAGAGGGCUGCCCAGAGAUCCCGGGAGGCUGUCUCCCCGGCAAGGGUGCCCACUGCAAGCACAGGCGUGAGAAAUGGCCCAGAAAAGAGUGGUCAGGGCAAUGUGUUCUUGGCACGCCCAGCAAGACCUGCCAGAGGGACCUACAGACGAGUGUCUCCCAGCUAUCUUACCAGCGGGGACCUUGAGGUCCAAGUAUCCAGUCCGGUUAGAAAUGGCCGCGGAUCCAACAGGUGCUGGUGAGUGGGAGAAUACCCCUGAGGGAGGAAGAACAGAGGCCGGGAGGGAGCUGAGUGGAUGUAGAUGAGAAAUACCUGGACAGCUGCAAGCUGUAGUCAGUGAUGGGCAACUGGAACCAGAGAUUCCAGAGAGAGGGAGGGAGAAAGAGGGAGGAGAAGGGAGAAUGAGAAAGAGAGGGAGAGAGAAUGGGGGGGAGAAAGAGGGAGAAUGGGGGAGAGAGGUAGGAGCAAGUUCUGGACCACGCCAAGGAUGGAGCUGUGGUCCUGGAACCAGAUGUCCAGGGAAUGGGAUGAAGUGACACUGGCUGGGGCCGAGGCUGCAGACUGCUGGUGGGAGCUGGCAGGACAAUGAGGAUUCUGAACCAGGUGCCUGAGCCUUCUGUGGAUAUGGGGAGUGACUUGGAUGUCUAUAAAUUCCAGAAAUGAUAGGAGGGAUAGAUGAUGGAGGGACUGUAUUUUAGACAAUAAACAAAUUUCACUCA
rnacentral:lncRNA from 1 species